rnacentral:siRNA from 1 species
UGAAUGGUGACUGCGUUUUGCGGU